ACCCCAGGCCCAACCCCAGUCUACACCCCAGGCCCAACCCCAGUCCACACCCCAGGCCCAACCCCAGGUACAACCAUUUUAAAACAUACAUUUCCAUACUUUUUUGCACAUACUGAUUGAAUUGUUAACUAUGUAUGCUGUUAGUAGAAUUGUACCUAAAAUGUCUGACAAUUUUUUGCCCUUGGAAGCCCGAAUGAAUAGACACCAUUAUCAUCGAGGACCACUUUGGAAACAAGUGUUUUAAUGUUUCAGUGUUAUCCUCUGCAAAUACACUGCACACCUUGCUGUAUGAUUUUAAACGAAAUAAAUUCACUUUAAAUUGGUGAAGGGUUACACAUCAAGUAAUAAAAUGUAAACUAGAGGACUCUUAUUGGCCAUUGACUAGAGUGUUCUUGUUAGGUUCAAACCUUCCAACUACCUUCCAAAGACGUCGAUCACCUGGGGGGAAAAACUAUGAGAAAAAAUCCACAGCUUGUGGAUACAUCUGUGGCGUUUCAGAGUUGAAGACGAGGGAUCAGGGGAAAUACUUUCAAGCAGUUCUACAGCAAGCGGAUAGGCCGAUGGACAUUCUCAUUUUGGAACCAGAGCAACGAAAAAGUUUUUCAGGAGCCGAGAAGAAGGUCUUCAGUUAAGCUGAAGAGAACCUCAUUUGAGAAACUUGGCAUAAACAAGUACAAAGAUGGAAUAAAGUUGAAACAAAUCCAAAUUGACUAUCGUGAAAGGCAAAAAGACUACAGAAGGAAGCCACUGCUGAGCAAAUAUAAGAAACAGUUUUAAUUAAAGAUGUUAGAACAUACUCUUUCACUGACAGUGUGUGGAGUUCAAUGUCCAGACCAAAGGGAAUUAAUGAAUUACCUAGCCUACAUUAUGUAAGUAGUUUUUUUUUAUUAGAAGUAGCCAUUAAAGCUGCACCGUAACAGCAAUCACCAUAUCUAACCACUUGCGGUAGGCCUACUGCAGCUCACAGGAAAUUGAGUAGCUAUAGAUUGGCUGUGUAUAACCUACAGUUUGUGAAAUAACUAUUCCAACAUAGCAUGUAGCCUAGUGUCAUCUACACAUUGCAUUGGGCAAAACAACCAGCGUUUUAACAUUCAUUUGCAACUGUUAUUUCGCUUCUUAAUGUUUACUUAGCAGCCAAUUUAUGUUCAUGAUACUAUAUAACCCAUUAGUAACCGAAUACAAUCGGAAUGUAAUAAAAAAAAGUUUAGAUUUGUGUACUUUUAGACAUUAACCCCAUUUGGUCUCAUUUUUUUUAUUUUUAUCUUGGCCCUGUGAAGUGGCCACUUCAGUGCACAUUCAUCAUGAUCUACAAUAACUUGGUUUAAAAUAGUCAUGUGGUCAUCAUGGUACACAACACAUGCCUGCGUCUGGGUCUUUCUGAGCAUAGUCCAAUGCCGUAUAAACACAAUAGCCUUGUCCAAUAGUGUGUGGGCAAAGGGUACAUCAGUUGUUCAUUGCCCUUUAUUCAGUAGUACUUAAAACGCUGCAGUUCAGUAGUUUGUAAACAUCUUGAAUACCAAGAUAUUUGGUGGCAUCCUCAGACGAUGAGUACUUCACCUGCAGGGCUUCUUUUUGAACAAAACAGAACACACAAUCACUCAUGGCCCCACAAAUAUGUUAUGUCCAUAGGCUACUGUAUAUUAGUAAUAAUAUAGCAGUAAACUCAAAUGAUAAAAAUCAGCAAAUGCUUGGAAACAAAAUAAAUAAGCAAAGAGGGACAAUGGAAAGAAACAAGUUAGGAAGACAGACACUGGGGAGUUUGUAAAUGUUGUCACGUCACUGGACAGGCACUGGGACUACACAACACACAGACACAUUGAAUAUUAGGGAAAAAUGGUUUAAUUUUGGAGACAGAGGCAAAGAAACACACCACACAUGAACAAACAUUUACCAAAUAAAACAUUGACUGAUUUCCAACUACACACCACUGCUUCUAUGGGGAAAAAUAGAAAUAUCUACCAACAGGUAAAAGGAAAAGCCCAGAAACUAAACAAAUAUUAAACUAAGACAUUUAUCUAUCCAUACAAGUUGUCUAUAAUAAGCCCAGAUGGUCAUUUUUAAUAACCAUGUGGACAGAGCACAGCACUAACAUGAAACUGACCACGAUUUUAGAGGAUCCCCACCCCCCCCCAAUAUAGAAACUGAAUAACAAA